rnacentral:tRNA from 1 species
GUUUGCUCAAUAUUUGGUAGAGCGCUCCACCUGUAAUGGAGAGGUCCCGGGUUCGAUACCCGGAC